AGUGGCGAACGGGUGAGUAACGCGUGAGGAACCUGCCUCAAAGAAGGGGGACAACAGUUGGAAACGACUGCUAAUACCGCAUAAGCCCACGGGUCGGCAUCGACCAGAGGGAAAAGGAGCAAUCCGCUUUGAGAUGGCCUCGCGUCCGAUUAGCUAGUUGGUGAGGUAAUGGCCCACCAAGGCGACGAUCGGUAGCCGGACUGAGAGGUUGAACGGCCACAUUGGGACUGAGACACGGCCCAGACUCCUACGGGAGGCAGCAUG
rnacentral:rRNA from 1 species